rnacentral:antisense_RNA from 1 species
AAAGUAAGACAGGAAACAAACGCGGGUGCAAGCCAGACGCCCUUGGAGCGCGGGGUCAGGAGGCAAAGGAGAGAGUCCACGUGGAGACGGUCAGAGGACCGGAGAUAGAGCUCGCGGUGGUCUCAGCCGAGAACCACCCUCCAAACCGUGGUUUGCCUUACCUGACCGCUGCCGGAUAGCCGACCAGAAGGUCUCGGGAGCAAGAGAGCUCAGGACCGAGAGCUGAGCACGAGGGUCUCAGGAGAAGAACGCUUCUGGUGCCGCUAACUCGACAGGGCCGGCAUUUUAUUAGUUUAUCAGCAGGCGAAGCGAUAAGGAUAUCGUCCAUAUAGGACACCAGCAGAGACUGGGAAAAGGCGGCGGAAACUUGGCGAAGAGGUUCCUGUAGUGCUCGUUCGAAAAGAGCUGGGCUGUUAAUGAAGCCUUGAGGUAGGACCCGCCAGGCAAAGCGUCUAUGAGGUUGGAGUCCCCCGGGGGUAGGGAGGGUAAAAGCAAAGUAGGAGCGGAAGCGGUCUUCGACUGGAAUCUGGAAGAAGGCGUCUUUGAGAUCUAGGCAAAUGAUAUGUGGAAGGUGUGUAGGGAUAGCGGUAAGGUCUGGCGGUCCGGGGGAGAGUGCCGGAAUGGGCUUUGUAAGAGCAUUUGUAGCUCGUAGGUCAUGCACAAACCUCCAGGCGCCAUUUGGUUUCCGUACCGGGAAGACUGGAUUAUUGCCUGGCCCGUCCCAGGGGGAGAUAUAACCUGCCUCCAGAGAGCGAUGGACCAGGUCUUGAAGGGCCUGGAGGCGUUCUAGUUUAAAGGGAAUUGAGGCACCUCAGGUGGAGGGGGCAGAUGUUCUAAUCCAAUGUGGCUCGGGGGGGCAUCCAAGACGCCUACCACAGGGGGGCGUACUUCCUCAGGUAUGGAGAUAGAGGCCUGUAGGCGGGAGAGGACGUCCCGUCCUAAAAUUUGCCAUUUGUCGAAAGUGUCAACUAAAAUUUUUGGGAUGGUGAUAAAGGGACCCUCUGGUUUUAGAGCCAGGGUCAGAGGGCCUUGUAGCCAAUUGUAUCUGUUCCGGGAGACUCCCCCUGCUCCGAGCACUGCGGCGGGGAUCCGUGGGUAAUCCCGAACCAGCCAA